UACGAAGGGGGCUAGCGUUGUUCGGAAUUACUGGGCGUAAAGCGCGUGUAGGCGGGUCUUUAAGUCAGGGGUGAAAUGCCAAGGCUCAACCUUGGAACUGCCUUUGAUACUGGAGACCUUGAGUCCGGGAGAGGUGAGUGGAAUUGCGAGUGUAGAGGUGAAAUUCGUAGAUAUUCGCAAGAACACCAGUGGCGAAGGCGGCUCACUGGCCCGGUACUGACGCUGAGGUGCGAAAGCGUGGGAGCAAACAGGG
rnacentral:rRNA from 1 species